rnacentral:rRNA from 1 species
AGAGUUUGAUCCUGGCUCAGGAUGAACGCUAGCGGCAGGCUUAAUACAUGCAAGUCGAGGGGCAGCACAGUAUAGCAAUAUAUGGGUGGCGACCGGCAAACGGGUGCGUAACACGUACGCAACUUACCCUUUACUGGGAGAUAGCCCAGGGAAACUUGGAUUAAUAUCCCAUAUUGCAGAGAAUCGGCAUCGGUUUUCUGCCAAAGUUCCGACGGUAAAGGAUGGGCGUGCGGUUGAUUAGGUAGUUGGCGGGGUAACGGCCCACCAAGCCUACGAUCAAUAGCUGAUGUGAGAGCAUGAUCAGCCACACGGGCACUGAGACACGGGCCCGACUCCUACGGGAGGCAGCAGUAAGGAAUAUUGGGCAAUGGACGCAAGUCUGACCCAGCCAUGCCGCGUGAAGGAUGAAGGCCCUCUGGGUUGUAAACUUCUUUUAUCUGGGGCGAAAGGCGGUUAUUCUUAGCCGUUUGACAGUACCAGAGGAAUAAGCACCGGCUAACUCCGUGCCAGCAGCCGCGGUAAUACGGAGGGUGCAAGCGUUAUCCGGAUUCACUGGGUUUAAAGGGUGCGUAGGUGGAUCUGUAAGUCAGAGGUGAAAUCCCCGAG